CGUAAAGAGCUCGUAGGUGGUUUGUCGCGUUGUUCGUGAAAUCUCACGGCUUAACUGUGAGCGUGCGGGCGAUACGGGCAGACUUGAGUACUGCAGGGGAGACUGGAAUUCCUGGUGUAGCGGUGGAAUGCGCAGAUAUCAGGAGGAACACCGGUGGCGAAGGCGGGUCUCUGGGCAGUAACUGACGCUGAGGAGCGAAAGCGUGGGGAGCGAACAGGAUUAGAUACCCUGGUAGUCCACGCCGUAAACGGUGGGUACUAGGUGUGGGUUUCCUUCCUUGGGAUCCGUGCCGUAGCUAACGCAUUAAGUACCCCGCCUGGGGAGUACGGCCGCGAGGCUAAAACUCAGAGAAAUUGACGGGGGCCCGCACAAGCGGCGGAGCAUGUGGAUUAAUUCGAUGCAACGCGAAGAACCUUACCUGGGUUUGACAUGCACAGGACGCCGGCAGAGAUGUCGGUUCCCUUGUGGCCUGUGUGCAGGUGGUGCAUGGCUGUCGUCAGCUCGUGUCGUGAGAUGUUGGGUUAAGUCCCGCAACGAGCGCAACCCUUGUCUCAUGUUGCCAGCGGGUAAUGCCGGGGACUCGUGAGAGACUGCCGGGGUCAACUCGGAGGAAGGUGGGGAUGACGUCAAGUCAUCAUGCCCCUUAUGUCCAGGGCUUCACACAUGCUACAAUGGCCGGUACAAAGGGCUGCGAUGCCGCGAGGUUAAGCGAAUCCUUUUAAAGCCGGUCUCAGUUCGGAUCGGGGUCUGCAACUCGACCCCGUGAAGUCGGAGUCG
rnacentral:rRNA from 1 species